ACACAGACACACAAACAUAACUCCAAAAAUGGUAUUUUCAGACUCAGGGAGGUCCAAAAUGUUGAGAUUCCUCAAAAUCUCGACAUUGAAUCUUUGGAUGAUUACAAUACUUUUCCUAUACUUCGUAAUACAAGAAAGUCAGGGAGGUCUAAAACGGCGAGAUUCCUCAAAAUCUCGACAUUGAAUCUUUGGACGAUUACAAUACUUUUCCUAUACUUCAUAAUACAAGAAAGU